rnacentral:lncRNA from 1 species
GGAGAUAGUCAAACCUUUUCAGAACAUAACUUUCCAGGUUUUAUGUUAAAAUUGCUAAGAGUUGCCUUUGUAACAUGCAAUUAUGACUACUAGAAACAAUUUUACAUGCAAGGUAUGUAAGAACAGUAAAUUGUGUUUUUUUUCCCUGUAAAAGGUUACAAAAGGUUUUUGCUUCUUUAAAAUUUCUGAGUCAUCAUUUUGGCAAAAUAUAUAAUUUAUGGGAAUCUGGAAUUCCAAAGUCAAACUUCAGUUUCAAAAUUCUCUUUCUGAAUGCCUGGCUUUUUGGAUGGAUCAGAGAGCCCCUGAAAACAUCCAGAAAAGAGCAGGUGAAAAAGCUUUUUAUGUUUUGGAUCUUCCGAAAACAUCAGCGAAAGACUGUCCUUGCCAUCCAGACUACAACAAAAACUUUAGGACCUUGAAGUUUGGGUUCAUAAUCUCAUAAAUGAGAAGGGUCCCUCUACACUCUCAGAACUGUACACCCGUUGGAACCCUUAAGAGACCAUCAAGCUUCACAUCAUCAUGCAACAAAGGUUCCAGCCAGUUCCAGGUGAAGACACCACCCCUGGCCAUCAAGAAGCUACCUUGCCUUCACCAGACAGAGCAGGAAUUUUUGAGUUGGGUGGAAGUAGUGACUAUAUGAAGCAACUACCACUGAAGGACCAGAAAAGAAUAACGACAAUAUUAAAGAAAACAGCCAUCUUGGAGUCCAGUUAUAUUUUAAUAAAAGAUUUGUUCUCUACCAAUGCCCUACACUGCUAACAGGAAACUGCCUUCUGGAUUUGUGGGAAGUUCACCAGCAGGAAGCGCCAGUGGAAAUUGGGAGGGUGGCUAUAGCUGAUUUCCACUGUUCUUCAGUUAGUUUCCUGGCUGCUCACAAAGAUUUUCCUGCAUGCCACUGCUCUCCAGGAAUCUACCAACAUUCACGUAGACUUCUCAAUGAAUGGCACGGAAAGUUUCUUCUUAAGAGCCAAGAAGAUUGAUACAUGACUGGAGCCUGAAUGGUAGAACUUUUUCAGAAGUGAGGAGUCUGUUGGCCCAGAAGAUCUGCGGUAAGAUCUGCCUCAACAUACCUUACUCAUUUUUUUCAAAGAGACUCUAGAGUCUAAAAUGAACAACCAAUCAAUUCUACAAACAUUGCAUCAUGAGGAGUUGCUGCACCUCUUCUCCAGGAUUUGCAAAACGUGUAGUCCAAAUCGAGUUCGGCUAGAACUGGUCUGUCAUCAAGAUAUGGCUCAUGAAAGAGAUUGGUGUUUAGGAGGCUGGGAAAAGGAAAUAUUUUGAGAGACUUCAUGUGCUCCGCACAUGGAGGUGGCUUCCUUUUGCCUCAGGUGAAGGGAGCUUCAACAAGAUCACUCAGAGUUUGAUCAAUGAUCUUAGAAUUUGCAGAACAUAGGGACUGCCAUUUGACUCACCCUUUAGAAGUCAGGAGGAAAGGUUACGUGGCUGGCACUUCUCAUGUCUGGGAAGGAACAACUGUGAAGUGCUGACCUAGACGAAUGUUGCACUUCCGCUGAUGAGUAGGCAAUGGCGAAUGUUUUCCAGGGUCCAAAUGUGGACCCGGCAACAGAGAGGCUGUCUGUAAUCACUUUAUAAGAGACACUAACAACAAUGACCACUGGGACUAAAGAGAGCACAACGGAAGUAGUUCUGCCAGAAGGGCUGAGGAGAGGGCUGAGCAACCACCCUCAGGGGAGGCAGACCCACAUCAAAGACAUCUCAGCAGUCCCUUUCCCAUGAAAGAAAGAGCUAGAAAUUGUCCAUUUGACACACACACAAACCAGAUCCCAGAUUGCAAUUGAUUCAGAUAAUGAAAAGCUUGUUCUUUUCACUUGCUGUUCUAGCCUAACCAUGUAGGUGUCAGAAGCAGUUGUAGGCUAGGAGAGAAGUCGGAGCAAUACAGAAGCCAGUUCUGCCUUUGCCUCAAGAUCCACUGUCCACUCAGAGGCAGGCUGGCACAUGGGGGAUGAGAACAUUCCAAGAAAGAUGUGAAUCUGGAAUUUUCAUUUAUGCAGUAGAUGGGGAUUUACUACUGAAAGGAACAUGUUUUGGCAACUAAUAGUGACCAAAAGAAUUUGUACUUACUAAAAAUUAUCUUAAAAGCAUGGGAUUACCCUAGCAUUUUGUUUCAGAAACUGAAAUUAACAGAAAACUAUAAAAUUACUUUCUGCCUGAAACCUAAGAAGGUGAACUCAUGCCAGAAACCAGUUACAUUCACAAUUACCUGGAUUUUGUUAUUUCCUACAAUGAAUAAAACUUAUUAUAAAGCAGAAAAGC